GAGAAGAAAAAAAAACCCAGCUACAUAUUUUAUGUUGAUAUUUAUUAACACCUUUGAAAACAGUGACACAAUAAAACAAAAACUAAUGUGAAUAAUAUUAAUUAAAAAGUAAUGCAUACAAAUAUAUGAUAUAUAUUAAUCAUCCCAUGAACACUGCAUUAAGAAUAUCCCUGGAAUCUAACCUAAUGGAUAAAAUACCUCAAUCAAAAAUUGGCCUAGAAGCAACAAAAUACAAUGUAAUCACUGACUGUAAAGCUUGCAUAUAACAUCUUUACAUUAUUUACACAGCACACAUUUCUUUAGCCUCUUAAAAGUUACAAAAAGUUGUGCAGGUUAAUUCUAAAGGUCUGCUAUUGUUCAAUGACCUUGUUGCAGCCAUUUUGCCUUGCCUUGUGUACAGUAAAGUUCAUACAAUAUGUUCUAAAUAUUAAAGUAAACAUCAACUGGUGAACAUCAAAAGUCCACUACACAACCAGAUGGGACAUCAGUGCGAUACUGUAGCCAUGGGUUUAAGCUAGUUAAAACUAUUAGCUAUUGCUAAAGGUCAUCAUUGAGUUUCAUAACAUUGUAAGUUCCAUAACUAUCUACUUAAGUGUAUUUUAAUCAGAAUUUUUUUUUUAAGUUGAAGACAUGAUACUUGAGAGUUGUACACCUGAAAGAACAGAAGGGCAUCUGACAGACAGGUAGGGAAGCUGUCAGACAGGUAGGUGACAUGACAGGUAGGGCAUCUGACAGACAGGUAGGGAAGCUGUCAGACAGGUAGGUGACAUGACAGGUAGGGCAUCUGACAGACAGGUAGGUGACAUGACAGGUAGGGCAUCUGACAGACAGGUAGGGAAGCUGUCAGACAGGUAGGUGACAUGACAGGUAGGGCAUCUGACAGACAAGUAGGGAAGUUGUCAGACAGGUAGGUCACAUGACAGACAGGUAGGGCAUCUGACAGACAAGUAGGGAAGCUGUCAGACAGGUAGGUGACAUGACAGGUAGGGCAUCUGACAGACAAGUAGGGAAGCUGACAGACAGGUAGGGCACAUGACAGGUAGGGCAUCUGACAGACAAGUAGGGAAGCUGACAGACAGGUAGGUCACAUGACAGACAGGUAGGGCAUCUGACAGACAAGUAGGGAAGCUGUCAGACAGGUAGGUCACAUGACAGACAGGUAAGGCAUCUGACAGACAAGUAGGGAAGCUGUCAGACAGGUAGGUCACAUGACAGACAGGUAAGGCAUCUGACAGACAAGUAGGGAAGCUGUCAGACAGGUAGGUCACAUGACAGACAGGUAGGGCAUCUGACAGACAAGUAGGGCAGCUGAUAAUUGUAACAUAACUAUUAGAAAGAUAGACUUGAUGCAAAUGUAAGGCACCUCAGAAACAUAGUAUCUGUUAGAGCACCUAAUACACAGGUAGGGGAGCUGAUAAACAGGCAGGGCACAUGCUAGACAGGCGGGAAAGGAACCGGUACUGUUGAUGAGGUUGUGCACCUGACAGACAGAUAAAGUACUUGACAGAAGGGCCCUGACAGACAGGUAGAUCCCCUGAUAUAGAAACAAGGUAUCUGAUAGAUUGAUUGAUUGGUAGUUGACAGACCUGUUGUCACUUGUACAUAAGAUUUUCAAAACAAUCUUCUAAUGCUCUAAACCAUCUUUAGUUGGACAUUUCUUGUCAUACAUGAGAAUAAACUUUUACUUCUUGAAGAUUUCAAUUAAAAAAAAAUUCCCUUGACUCUAAUGAUUGAUAUAAUUAACUAUUCCUAAAGCAUUCUUCCAAUAAAGGAAGUCUUGACCCAAAUGAUUUCACACAAUUUGACCAAGCAAUCUUCUGAAUAAUAACAUACUUAGGGGUCACUUUUAAACAAAAAUGCUUUUCAAAAAGAAAUGCUACUAUAAUACCAAAAAAAAAGAAAUUUAAUCUAACAUCAAAUUUGUCUCGACUUUGGAAAAAUGUUUUCUAUAUAACAAAAAGUACUAUAAAAGACUAGACAGCACAGAGCAGGAUUGGAAAUAUCACUUCAAUAAAGCAAUUUUUUGUUUCCAGUGAACAAAAUUAAUUACUUUGAUUUGAGCCAAUUUGAUAUGGGUUACUCAAUAGGUUAAGGUGAGAACAAUGUUCAACGUAGGAUACAGAGAAUAAGCAAUUAACUUUCAACUAAGAACUCUCUUGUAUUUGUGGCUUGCACAUGAAAUUAGCUUUAUAUUAAUUAUUUUUUUCUGUGGAUAUUGAACAACAAAUUUUUUUUGAACCCUAAAAUUCUAAAUUCCAAUGACAAUUGUUUUAUUUCUUGCUUAUUGAGACAUACUUAUGAUAAGUUUUCUCAUCUUUACUAAAGAAUCCUUAACAAAGAUAAAGAUUAUAAAUCCUUUUUCUUUCGAAGAACAUCUUUGUACACAAAAACAUAGUAACAUGCCCAAAUAUUUAACACCGUUAUAAACACUUAUAAUAUUUUGAAAGUAAGUAAAAAAAAAAA
rnacentral:sRNA from 1 species